GACGAACGCUGGCGGCGUGCCUAAUACAUGCCAGUAGAACGCACAGUUUAUACCGUAGCUUGCUACACCAUAAACUGUGAGUUGCGAACGGGUGAGUAACGCGUAGGUAACCUGCCUGGUAGCGGGGGAUAACUAUUGGAAACGAUAGCUAAUACCGCAUAAUAUUGAUUAUUGCAUGAUAAUUGAUUGAAAGAUGCUAUUGCAUCACUACCAGAUGGACCUGCGUUGUAUUAGCUAGUAGGUGAGGUAACGGCUCACCUAGGCGACGAUACAUAGCCGACCUGAGAGGGUGAUCGGCCACACUGGGACUGAGACACGGCCCAGACUCCUACGGGAGGCAGCAGUAGGGAAUCUUCGGCAAUGGACGAAAGUCUGACCGAGCAACGCCGCGUGAGUGAAGAAGGUUUUCGGAUCGUAAAGCUCUGUUGUAAGAGAAGAACGGGUGUGAGAGUGGAAAGUUCACACUGUGACGGGAUCUUACCAGAAAGGGACGGCUAACUACGU
rnacentral:rRNA from 1 species